rnacentral:rRNA from 1 species
UACGGAGGGAGCUAGCGUUGUUCGGAAUUACUGGGCGUAAAGCGCACGUAGGCGGCUUUGUAAGUUAGAGGUGAAAGCCUGGGGCUCAACUCCAGAACUGCCUUUAAAACUGCAUCGCUUGAAUCCAGGAGAGGUGAGUGGAAUUCCGAGUGUAGAGGUGAAAUUCGUAGAUAUUCGGAAGAACACCAGUGGCGAAGGCGGCUCACUGGACUGGUAUUGACGCUGAGGUACGAAAGCGUGGGGAGCAAACAGG